UACAGAGGUGGCAAGCGUUGUUCGGAAUUACUGGGCGUAAAGGGCGCGUAGGCGGCCUACUAAGUCAGACGUGAAAUCCCCCGGCUUAACCUGGGAACUGCGUCUGAUACUGGGAGGCUUGAGUGCGGGAGAGGGAUGUGGAAUUCCAGGUGUAGAGGUGAAAUUCGUAGAUAUCGGGAGGAACACCUGUGGCGAAGGCGGCCAUCUGGACGGCAAUUGACGCUGAGACGCGAAAGCGUGGGUAGCAAACAGG
rnacentral:rRNA from 1 species